GGUAUGGCUCAGCCUGGUAGAGCGCUUGCUUUGGGAGCAAGAUGUCGUGGGUUCGAAUCCCGCUGCC
rnacentral:tRNA from 1 species